rnacentral:pre_miRNA from 1 species
UGGACAUAUUAUUGUAUUCAACUGUAUUCACAGUGUGAAACAGGGGAUUAUACUGUUUUUAAACGGAAAGUGAAUCAAUUAACAUAUAACUCAA